rnacentral:piRNA from 1 species
UGCUAUGAAAUAGAUGGUAAGCCUUAGCC